GAUGCAGACUGUGUGAGGAGCCGCGCCCAGAUAAUUGACUUUUCUCUUAUUGCCCAGCCAUCAAUUCAGAGGAACGUAGCACGUUUACAAAAUCUGUGUUUAUUUAUUCAUUUCUGAGGACCACCGUCUCUCGUUAUCCAGUCAGCGGUGUGGAUACGUACUGUUAUACAAAAAGAGCUGUGAAGAAAAGGAGUUCCUUGUAAAUACUCGGUCAAGUGACUGCAGAAAAACACGUCAUCACACCAUCGAGAGACAAUGCGCGUUAUGGAGGGAGAGUCAGUCACUCUACACAAUGGUGUUGAAAACAUCAGACAACAUAAUAUUAGAUGGUAUUUUAAUGGCAUUCAAAUCGCUGAAAUAAAUGGAGAACAGAUUGAGAUCUGUACAGAUGUUCAGUGUACUGAAGUUACUGAGAGAUUCAGAGGCAGACUGAUUCUGGAUGAGACUGGAUCUCUGACCAUCAGGAACAUCAGAACAACAGAUGCUGGUGAAUAUCGUCUAGAGUUCAACGACAAUGAGAUCAGUACAAUGAUCUUUAACGUUACUGUCAUUGAUCCAGGAAAUGAAUACACACCCCCACCCCAGAGCUCUAAUGAUCCUGACAUUAAUUCAGCUCAGUCUUCAGGUCUAAGAGCAGGAAUACUUUACCCUUUUACUAUUCUGAUGGUGAUUCUACCUGCUGUUCUUGGUUUCAUUAUCUAUUUCAUCAGGCAGCUCCUGAAACGCAGACGAGGGGGCAAAUGAACAGGCUUAUGCACAAAACAACAGGGAUGAGAUGGGUGAGUGCUGAGUGGACGGCAGUGGAGAUGGCAUCAUCGGUCGACCGGUUGGACCGAUAUGCAAACUGGAAGGGGUCCAGGGAGGGCAGACUUGAUGUGGUGCAUGACUAGCCGUUCAAAGCACUUCAUGAGGAUGGGGGUAAGUGCAACAGGACGGUAGUCAUUGAAGCAGGAUGGAGAUGGCUUCUUCGGGACUGGGAUGAUGGUGGUAGUUUUAAAGCAUGUGGGAACAACAGCCUGACUGUUACUGUGAGAUGUUAAAAAUGUCUGUGAAGACAUCAGUGAGUUCUGCUGCACAGUCUUUCAGUACACGCCCAGGGAUGUUGUCAGGACCCGGAGCUUUGCGGGCAUUGAUCCUGCUGAAGGAUCUCCUCACGCUGUCUGGGGUCAGAGUCAUCACCUGGUCGCCGGGAGGAGGUGGAGUCUUCUGUGCAGUGGUGCUGUGGGGAGCACCACCAUAUUAUGGGGAGGAGUCAAGCAACACAAUCAAGAACAUGCAAAGAGUUACGCUUGUAAACAUCAGUCAAUUCACUAUAGAGAAAUUGAAAGUAAAAAAAACUGAAAGAGCUUCCUAAUGCUUCAUUAACGGCACAUAUUCUCUGAGACAAGGUGAGAACUACUUCAACAUAUGCUAAUAAAGAUUUAUAACUUUCUUACGUUAUCCCCUUAAAUAUUUAUCUUGUGGCCCAUAUAGUGAAAAACAUGAGAAAGGAAUUUCGCGUUAAACGGUUUGUUUUGAAAAUCGGUGCACAGAGGGCCGGCCCAGGCUCUGUUGGUGCCAGAGGCGAGAUUUUAGAUUUUCUGCCCCUGACUAAAAUAAUUCGGAUCUUUCAAAACUAUUAUAAUAUAACAUGACAUAAAUACUUAUUAUUAUCAACAUAAAUAAGUAUUAAAUAAAUUGUGAUUAUAAAAAAAUGUAGAUGUUGAAGGGCCUUGUGGGUAUUUUAUGAGUGAAUCUGUUAAAAUAGUCUAUUGAAGAGACCAUGAGCAGCUCCCACAACUAUGCAUAGUGAAAAGUACUUAUUACAAUAAAGGGAAAUAUGUGCAAUAUGACAUGCCUAAAGUAGUCUAAAAGACAACAAAGGCAACAAAAUAAAGACAACAUUUUGUAAUUUAUUUGUAGAUGUUAGCCAGCUAGCUAGCUAGUUAGUCUAAUUAGCAUUCCUUUCAUUUCAAUUUUGUGCAUACAGUGGAAAAUUACACUGAAAAAAAAUAAGUGUAAUUUUAACUUUACAAUUUAGUAAAAACGCUACAAAAAAAGUUCCCGUACUAUAUACAGAGAAAAACUGUAAAAGAUCUAACCAGAUAUUUUUUUUUGUAAUUUUACAGUAAAAUGCUGUUCAUUUUUACAGCUUUUAAGAGUAAAAAAGAACAAAUCAAUGUUUGAUUUACAGUCAAAAACUGUAAACUGAUAUUCCCAGAAUUCUAUGCGUGACACUCCACAUUUUAAAGUAUUUUGUUUAAAUAAUGUUUUAAAAUAUUUUUUUGUUAUCAGUUAAAUGUACAUUUGGACUUUAUGUUACAGUACUUGUUUAAUGAAAGUUUACUGCAUUAUUUAAGUAUCAUGUGUGUUACCAUGAUGGUGUUUUUGUGUUUGCAUGAAUGACCUUCUAUAUAUUAUUAUAUACUUCUGCUUGUGGCGAAGCUACUUGUGAUUAGUUUUGAUUUUUCAUGUGACUUUCUCUUUAACCCCCUGCAUUAUUAUGGAGGUUGUCAGUAUGUUAAAGGUACAAAACAGAUUUUAAUUGUGUAUGUUGUUGAAUUAACUGGUUUACAUUCAAAUUUUGUUUGUAAAUUACAGCUUUAUACUGUAAAAUUAACAGUUUUUGACCGUUUUUUUAUACAGAAAACUAUUUUUCUGUCAAAAUUAUUCUGGCAAGCACAGCUGACAAAAUUAUUUUGUAAUACAGUGAUUUUUUUAUUUAUUUUUUUAUAGUGCAUACAUAAAACUUAAUUAUUUCAUUUUAUGAAGACUAGAUUAUAGUCCUGGUCACGGUCUUUUUCAAAAGAUCUUGUUCAAGAUCAGAAUUAAACAAGCUUACAUUUAUUUCAAAGAAAAUGAAUUGAAAUUAAAUAAGCAGUUAACUCAAGCAAAAAUGUUCCAUGGUGUCAGUAUUGGGUGAGCGUGAUUUCACCAAGUACAGCAUGUUCCUGGAUCGACAUCCUUUUGAUCAUGGAACAACAUUCCAAUCAACCGAUCAGAAUUGAGGGAUAACUUUUCAAAAAAUAUCUGUGUAAUGUAUUCAACCUUCGUAAUCAUCGGGAAGAAGGAGGCGGGAACCGGCGGACAAUCAAAGACUUUAAUAAUUCAAAAUAAACACAAAACAGCGCACCAGCCCCUCAUAGACGACUGAUGCGCACAAAUAAAAAGCAAAACAUAAACUAAAAACCCAGGCCCCCCCUGGUCCUUCACUGUCGUCGCUCCAGUUUUAUAUCCUUCCAUCUCCUACGUGGGACUCGCUCCUUGUUCCCACGUCCCAUGUCCCUCGGCCCCGCCCCACUCACCACAAUCUGUUUUAUGCUAAUAUAUAUAAAAGUAUAUAUUAGCAUAAUUUAGAUAACUAAAGCUUAUAGACGUUCAUUAAUUUAACACAAUUGAAAAAUUUUUUUUUUUUUUUUUUUUUUUUUUUUUUUGCACACCCACUGAACUGUUAGGCCCCUCCUUAGCACCCUAACAAACAAAUCCUGGAGCCACCACUGACUGUAUGUUUUCGAACAUAACUAUAUAAAAUAGCACUUUUCAGUGCUUCAUACUCAGUAAAACUGAAGCGAUAAAAUUACAUUUUUAUAUUUUGAAAUGUACCUCCGGCUGGUUAACACAGAAGAACCCCUUUCAGGGUGAAACGAAACCACCUAAUCAGCCUUCAGGAUUUAUUUAGCAAUAACAACCAUCUGGAUUUACAUCAUUCCUUACUUAAAAAUAUACUAGCAGCUCUGCUCUUCUGCUGCAAAACAGUCUGCACAUUUCUGUCUAUACACUAUACACUAUUUUUAUUUUUUUAUUAUUAUUUUUUGCAGACGGAGGAAGACUGAGGACGUGACUUGUGAGGAUCCUAACAUUAUUCAUGUUGAUGAUGUAAACCAUCGAAAACACUCCUCUGCUUGUUUUAAAUUCUGUUGAUUGAUCUGCCAUAGUUACAAAUAUUUUUUUCCACCUUAGAUCUAUAUCUUAGUUGAAGUGUGUACUUUUUUUUUGGAGAAAAUUGUUCAUGCUUUUGUGUCAUCUCAUUUUGUUUAUUGUAAUGCAUUGUAUCUGGGUGUGAGUCAGGCCUCAGCUUGUUCAGUAUUCAGCAGCUUUUAACGUAUACCACGAAGAGACAACAUAUUAAUCUUGUGCUUAUUAAACGACUCUGUCUUCCUGUACGAUGCAGGAUUCAUUAUAAAGUGCUGUUAUAUGUUUUAAAGUUUUGCAUGGUUUAGCACCAGAGUUUAUUUCCCAUUUAAUCAAUUUGCAUCAAUCCAGUAGGUCUAAUGAUCAAUUAUCUCGAUUUCAUUUAAAAUGCAAAGGUGAUAGGGCUUUUCUCUUGUUGCUAUUCCAAGGCUUUGAAUGACUUCCUCUGUCUGUAAAAUCUUCUCCUACACUUCCUGUAUUUCAAAGUGCACUUACAGUAUAACCAUAUAUACAUAUAUAUUUGUUGUUGUUUCAAAGUGCACUUAUAACCAUAUAUAUAUAUAAUUGUUGUUGUUGUGAUCUAUGUGAUCUAUGUCUGUAAUGUUUAAUGCUUGAUUAAUUUGUAUAUUUUGAUCUAGUCUUCCUGUUCUGAACUUUGGUCCUGGGCCAUGCAGAGACCUUUGGAGUGGCAGGUGCUCAAAGUAUAAAAGGGGCUCAUGGAGCAUGGCUUUUAAUACGGCUGUGCUUCUUGCCGAUACAUGUAUCCAAAUGAAUGCUUCAUACAAUUAUAAUUUAGCUCUUCAGCAGUUGCUUGUAUCAAAAAGCAACAAAUAAACCCUAAAACUAACUUCUAGUGACUUUGAACCAAUUUACAGUCUGGAUAAGUUGACAGUAUUUGCCAAAAGUUGGACCCGGUUUGCAGAUUUGAUAGAAAUAUUUAAGUGUUGAAUUGAUUUUGAAUCCAAAAAGUCCUUUUUGUGAUUCCGUUAAAUUGUUCAAAGUCACUUCUGAAAUUUCUGAUUGAUAAUCACAUUGUUACAUUGUUACAUUAUUCUUACUGUUUAAUGCAAGUAGUUAGGGCCACCUAAAAUGGGUGACCAACAAUUUGUUUUUUUUACAACUUUUUAACCACAAAUGCUAAUCUUACACCAGCCCAGCCUCACACAUGUCAUGUUAGAAAGGACACUCGUGCCUUUGGUGGAAGCUGGGCUUAUUCUAUUUAUUCUAUUUGUAAUUUUAUAAUAAAUCCCAUGUGGCCUUAUACCUUAGACCUUAUAUACUCUCUCUCUCUCUCUCUCUCUCUCUCUCUCUCUCUUCAGCCAAGUUUGCAAUGCUGUGAUUCAUCUUGGCUGGUUUCAGGGAGCCAAAGAUUGAUGUCUCUGUUGCACUUUAUUAACUUUUGGGGUAUGACAUGUAUAUUGUUAUGUGUUUUAAAAUAAACUGUUUAAAUGCUUUAAA